UUCUCUUUCCCAUUAAUUUUCACCUUUAAUCUGACCAUUAACAUCUUCAUCCCACUCGCCGUACCAUUAAUUCGAGCUCAGCCUCUUCACAGGAACCGUCAACAGAAAAAAGGAGUACGGGGAUCCAAAGGGAAGGAAAUCUAAACCUGGCCAGCUCUUAUAGAAAGAGGAUGUAGCUCGCCUCCAACCUAUGAAGAUUUGGACAAUUCUGAGGCUGAGGACAGUUUCAAGGCAAUUUUUGUUUACCUAUCAUCUUGGUAAGAGACCGAUAUCAAGAUCUUA